rnacentral:rRNA from 2 species
UUUAUGGAGAGUUUGAUCCUGGCUCAGGAUGAACGCUGGCGGCGUGCCUAAUACAUGCAAGUCGAGCGAACGGACGAGAAGCUUGCUUCUCUGAUGUUAGCGGCGGACGGGUGAGUAACACGUGGAUAACCUACCUAUAAGACUGGGAUAACUUCGGGAAACCGGAGCUAAUACCGGAUAAUAUUUUGAACCGCAUGGUUCAAAAGUGAAAGACGGUCUUGCUGUCACUUAUAGAUGGAUCCGCGCUGCAUUAGCUAGUUGGUAAGGUAACGGCUUACCAAGGCAACGAUGCAUAGCCGACCUGAGAGGGUGAUCGGCCACACUGGAACUGAGACACGGUCCAGACUCCUACGGGAGGCAGCAGUAGGGAAUCUUCCGCAAUGGGCGAAAGCCUGACGGAGCAACGCCGCGUGAGUGAUGAAGGUCUUCGGAUCGUAAAACUCUGUUAUUAGGGAAGAACAUAUGUGUAAGUAACUGUGCACAUCUUGACGGUACCUAAUCAGAAAGCCACGGCUAACUACGUGCCAGCAGCCGCGGUAAUACGUAGGUGGCAAGCGUUAUCCGGAAUUAUUGGGCGUAAAGCGCGCGUAGGCGGUUUUUUAAGUCUGAUGUGAAAGCCCACGGCUCAACCGUGGAGGGUCAUUGGAAACUGGAAAACUUGAGUGCAGAAGAGGAAAGUGGAAUUCCAUGUGUAGCGGUGAAAUGCGCAGAGAUAUGGAGGAACACCAGUGGCGAAGGCGACUUUCUGGUCUGUAACUGACGCUGAUGUGCGAAAGCGUGGGGAUCAAACAGGAUUAGAUACCCUGGUAGUCCACGCCGUAAACGAUGAGUGCUAAGUGUUAGGGGGUUUCCGCCCCUUAGUGCUGCAGCUAACGCAUUAAGCACUCCGCCUGGGGAGUACGACCGCAAGGUUGAAACUCAAAGGAAUUGACGGGGACCCGCACAAGCGGUGGAGCAUGUGGUUUAAUUCGAAGCAACGCGAAGAACCUUACCAAAUCUUGACAUCCUUUGACAACUCUAGAGAUAGAGCCUUCCCCUUCGGGGGACAAAGUGACAGGUGGUGCAUGGUUGUCGUCAGCUCGUGUCGUGAGAUGUUGGGUUAAGUCCCGCAACGAGCGCAACCCUUAAGCUUAGUUGCCAUCAUUAAGUUGGGCACUCUAAGUUGACUGCCGGUGACAAACCGGAGGAAGGUGGGGAUGACGUCAAAUCAUCAUGCCCCUUAUGAUUUGGGCUACACACGUGCUACAAUGGACAAUACAAAGGGCAGCGAAACCGCGAGGUCAAGCAAAUCCCAUAAAGUUGUUCUCAGUUCGGAUUGUAGUCUGCAACUCGACUACAUGAAGCUGGAAUCGCUAGUAAUCGUAGAUCAGCAUGCUACGGUGAAUACGUUCCCGGGUCUUGUACACACCGCCCGUCACACCACGAGAGUUUGUAACACCCGAAGCCGGUGGAGUAACCUUUUAGGAGCU